GCCUCGCUCCGCGCUGCGGGAGCCGGGCUCCCCGCGAGCUCCUCCGCCUCCCGAGCGCCUCGCGCGCUGCCGGCCUCCUCCAGCCGUCGCCGGAGCCGCCCUCUCCGCCGUCCCAGGAACCCCGCCGCCGCCGCCAGGAACCUCGUCGACGGCCUCCUCGUCCUCAAGUCUCGCCGGAUCCGGGGUCCCCAGGCCCGGAUGCACCCGUUCCCGUCCGUCCCGGCCAUCCCCGGCCUCCGCCCCUGCCGGAACCCGUUGCCUCCGCCUCCAGCACCGCCAUGCCCUGCGUCCUCUGCAUCGGGCGGGAGGAGGACGAGCUCCUCCAGCGUCCGCGUGGGCCCGGCCCAGCAGCGCCCAGCGUGCCGGCCCAGCCAUCGGCCUCCCCAGAUCUGCACCGCUGGCCUCCUCUGUCGACCGGCCCAAGGCCCUGGUUCCGGUAAUGUUGCGAUUGUGAGGAUUCGUUCGACUACGUCCGCUUGUCUUCUUCAUG